GUCCCAUCGUCCCCUCCUCUCCGCUGCCGCCCCUUCGCCUCCUCUCCGUCCCCGCCUCGCUGGGCCACCGCAUCUCGCCGGCGGCCGCGAGGUAACCCCCUCCUCUUCCCCAUUUCCCCUCCCGCUUGGAGAUGAGGGUGGAGGAGAUGGAGCUGCGCAGGAAACCGUCCGUGAAGAAGAAGAUAGGACCGGGUGUCACAGGAUGGGAGGGGCGAAUAUCGCUGGCUGCGCGAGGGGAGGAGCUCGCUGGGGGGUAGCAGUCGGAGGAAAAGGAACAGGAGGGUGGUGUAUACGUGAGGAGCGAGGCAGGACAGCAGAGGCAACGCCUCAUUUGAUCUUGCACGGUUCAGAAAUCAAGAGAGCAACAUAAUUUUAUGGUGGAUCUGUAGGAAUAGUCAACAAAUGGGAGAUAUGAUUUGGGAACAUCUACCUUGGGCACAUGUAAUGCAUGGACUUGAGUUUCUUUUAAUCAGGCAAGUUCCUUUCUCCGGUUCUUAUUGUGUUACUAAAUCCUAUUAGGAUUAGGAUGCACAGUCUAGGGUGGUUUAGGCCGUUGGCUAUUCUGUAAUGCUACUAUCCGCAGCAUCAGGGCACAAUGGCUACCAUCCAUCUCAGAUCUCUUUCUAUCUAGCUAUAUAAUGAUGGCCAAACUUUAACAUACACAAGUUGUAUGGCCUAACGUGGCUUUGUGCUAUCUAUCUAAGUCCCUCCUUUCCAUUAGAUAGGUGCAUAAACAUCAGCACAAUCCGAAUUUUUCCUGUUGUUACUUAUUACUUUGUAAUUUUUAUUUGUUAUUACCACAUCCAAGUUAUCUUAUAUCUAUCUGUUAGGUUCAUGAGUCUUGAAUGCAAUGUUUGCUACACUUAUCUUUUAGCUGAAUUUUGUAUCUUAAGUGCACUGAAGGAUGAUGAAAUUGCUGCAUGUGCAAUCUUAUUGAUGUUAUCUCUGUGCUUCUGGAUUUUUUCACAUCUCUCCAGUUCUGUACCGAGACUUCUGCAAACACCAAUUCUGGCACGUGAUUUAAUCCUUGCCUAUUUAUAUUUUACAUACUUUACUAUGUAUUUUGUCAUGAUUGUAACUACUCUGACCCAAAACAGAGAUUAACAGAUCCAAUGCUUUACAUCGGGAUGCUCUUUAUCAUGUAUGGUAUGUCGAAGAUCACUAUUUUUGCAGCAUUAAUUACCAUCAUUUGGGGGCAUUUACUAUGGGAUACGAGGCGAUGCUGCUCCUUGUUUUGAAAGAGUGGCUAGCCAGUAGGUGUACAACAAGGAUAUUUUAACUGACGAUGGAGAAGAUGCAGCAUUUGAUGUUCUGUUAGGGAAGACAACAAUGCCCAUAUAUGAUAUGGAUAGGCAGCCUGAGGUGUCCUUAAGAAUGCAUAUGAGUAAGUCACCCUUUUAAAUUUGUAUAUUCGAGAAGACAAUUCUAUCUGCAGAAUCAUGGAAAAACUGCCAUGAACUGCAUCAUUUGAUUGCAGAAAUAGAUUGAAGCUUGCUAAAGAGAAUGGCAUCCAGUACAUUUGGUUCCCUGCUCUUGUGGUAUUUUUUUGGUAUGUACUAAGUGCCUAUUUUCAUUCAUGCAUGUGCUUUUUGUGCAGAUUAUUCUUGGCCCUAUCUAAUCUGUAAAGUUUAACAUGUUUUUUUCAUGCAGCCACCCCUCUGAAGGAAGCAUCGAACAGAGCUAUUUCAACUGCUCAUCAUUUUUUCAGGGGAUAUUGAAGGGGUGAUGUCGUGUUCAUAGUGAUUCAUAUGUGGACGACAAAGAAAUGUAGGUCUAGCUUUCAACCGAUUUGGGGACGAAACCAUUGUGAAGAACCACGGUGUAUUCAGAAACUGGAACGCUAUUUCAUCUGAAUAUUUUGAUACUAUAAUGCCAUCCCACUACUAUAUUUGUAACCAAAUGACAUUUACACAUGUUAAAUGAAUGAUAUAUGCAGGUGAUGUCCUGUUCAGCAUAGCAUUGCACAGACUGCUUUCGUGUGGGUUAGUAUUCACAAUUGCAUGUAUUUAGAUGUCCCGUUGACUGAACAUUGCAGAAGUCUAUAACUCACUAGCUAGACAGUUAAUGUUAUUUAGAGAACCAAUUUUCCAUGUGGCUACUGGCUAGAAUUACCCAUGUAUGGCCUUAUGAAGGCAUAAGUAUGAUGUCUGCUACUAUAUGUAGACCUGUAGUGAUGCCUACAGCAAAGAGGAAGAUUGCGAUAUACUAAUACUCAAGCCAGUUUUCAAAUUUAGGUGGUGGAGGCAAGUCAAGAUUUUAGACAUGUUGUGUUAGUGGCAGUCACAACUGAUGACCUAAAAUUCUAGACGCCAAUCCUUAUGAGUGAAGUUGUUCCUGUGCAGAAAAACAUUUUUUUUUCUGGCAAGCAAGAGAAUGUCAAGAUAUUUUGAGUUAUUUCUGAUACUUGCUUGAUGGAACAAACAUAAAUGUUGGGUAGAUAGCAAUUGCCUUUUUUGGUCCAUUGAUUUGGGCUACACGGGAUAAAAAAGUUGUUCUAUUUGUUCCUUUACAAAUUUAAGGUGAGAUCUCUUCCUAGGAUCUGCUCAUUAGGCUUGAUUUCCUGAUAGGUGUUCAGUUUAUUUCUCAUGACCUUGACUUAAAUAAUUGCAUUUUAGGUGUCAUCGUUUGGUCACAUGUAUCGUCGUUCUUACCAGGUUGUCUUUCCAGGCUUUAGAAGAACCAUAGUUUGGAGGUUUCAUUGUGUACCAUGACCUGUGAUAUCUACCAUAUCACCAAUCAAAAUCAGAUUUCCCUCCACCUCACUUCUUAGGCAUGUUUAGCUUAUUAUUAUUUCUUACAGAAACACACUUACUUUCUCUCGUGAAUCUAUUCGUUUGCAUCUCUUGGACUGCUCACCAUGUUAAAUUCUGGUGGCACCCUUGACAGUAUUGAGCCACCGCGAUUCAGAUCAAAUUCCGAGGACCGGGGCAGUUUGGUUGUAUUUGCUGGGCAGGUUGGCACAUGUAGAGUUGAUGCACAUGAAGUUAAGUUCAGCUAUUCUGACGAUGGCCUUUCUAGCCUUGAUCUCCCCACACUGGCCUUAAGCAUUAAGAUUUUGUACAAUCCUUCUCUUGCCAUCUGUGAUGUAGCUGCAGUACUGUUCAGUAACCAUUACAUGUGCUGCUAUGCGCAUGGACACCAUUUAUUUUAGAGAUUGUUAGACGCAAGUCAAUUGCUGCAUGUUAUGUUCUUUGUAGCUACAGCUGAUUGUAUUGACGUGAUUUGUUGAUAAUUGAUGUCGGUUUCGUUCUUACCAUUGUGUCUUGUUUGUGAGUA